UUUAGGUCAAUUGCAAUGGUCCCAUUUUUUUGGAGCCAGGGUCUCAUGUUGUCUCAAACUAUGUAUGCAGUUGAAACUGCACUUGAAUUUCUGAUACUGUGUCCACCUCCAAGUCCUGGGACCACUCUCAGACCAAAUUCUCCCCCUCAGGGUCUCAGGUAUCCCAAGCUGGCCUUGAACUUCUGAUCCCACUGUCUCCAUCUCCCAAGUGCUAGAGUUAAAUGUGGGCACCACUAUACUACCUGGGUCUUGCUUGGAUCUGCCUCCUUAUUACGGUUCGUUACAAAACCUUACAUAACGCUUGCAAUCUAUCAAGGCAUCUACGUGGACUGUUGCUCCCCGCAGCUGAACCUGACAGACUGAGAAGCCUUAGAUGGCCCCCGGACUGCAGCUGGUACUUACCAGACCAUACCAAGUCCAGGCAGGUCCACAUGGACAGUGGUCCAGUCACGGCUGCGGGCCUUCAGCCUGGGACUUGUGCCAGUCACCUCUCGCCAGAGCAGCCUGUAGCUCUAACCAGCGCGAAGGCCGAGGGAGAAAGAGACCUCAUGGUCCCAACACGCACUACAUGCCUCUUACAUCACUACAGAGCAGCUCUUACCAGAGACGCGCCAAUGGCAGUCGGUUGCCAGGCAACAAGGCAGCAGCUCCCAAUCAACGGCCAGCUUUUGGCUGAAAGGGGGGGGGGGGGAGAUGCACGCUCGUGGUUUGAGUCUUCCUUCAGUUAGGCAGACUGGCCAGUGGAACGGAGAAGAAAAACAGGAGGAAGAAGCCAGCCAGCCAGUGUGUGCUGCUCCAUCUUCCCCAGAAAGUGCGUCUUUUACUGCUGCCCUUGCACAUCAGACUUUAGACCGCCCGUGGCUGGCUCCUCCAUCCCUCUCGUGAUGAGGCUUCUGGCUUCUUGGACUGUUUCAAAAAUGCUACGCCUUUUUCUAAGGACACUGAAGCGAAGUACUACUGUGUAGCCCAGACUAUUCUCAAAUGUAUAAUCCUCCUGCCCACGCUUCCUAAUGCUGGGAUCACAGGUGUGCAUGACUAUGGCCCUCCCUCCUCGACAUGCCUAUGGUUUGCAAUGCUACAGGUAGAACCCACAGCUGUGUGCUCAGUAGCCAAGCGCUCUACCACGGACUUACACCUCCAACUUACAAACCAGUGUUUCUCUAACCAAUUAAAAAUUAGUUCUUUUGAAA